rnacentral:misc_RNA from 1 species
CAUUCUCUGGGCAAUCAUAUGGAGCAAAGCAAUAUCAUAUGCUGGGCAUACACAUGCAGAAAGCCAUGUUUGUUCUUCUACUAGUUAGCAUACCACUUGCUCUCAUCUGGGCUUGCACGAGACCUAUUCUAAUUGCUUUUGGCCAAGAUGAAGCCAUAUCAGAGGAAGCUGGAACAUACGCUUGUUUCAUGAUCCCUAGCCUAUUCGCAUAUGGCCUGCUUCAAUGCCUUAAUAAAUUCCUACAGACUCAGAAUAUCGUAUUCCCAAUGAUGAUAUGCUCAGGAAUUACGGCCUUGCUUCACAUCCUGGUGUGUUGGAUUCUAGUAUUCAAAUCCGGGCUUGAAAGUAUGGGAGCUGCUUUGGCAAAUUCAAUCUCUUAUUGGAUCAAUGUAUUGUUGUUGGCUCUUUAUGUCAAAUUCUCUCCUUCCUGUGCAAAAACUUGGGCAGGCUUCUCAAAGGAAGCCUUACAAAAUAUCCUUAGUUUCGUGAAGCUUGCAAUCCCUUCGGCUG